rnacentral:rRNA from 1 species
UACGUAGGGCGCAAGCGUUGUCCGGAAUUAUUGGGCGUAAAGAGCUCGUAGGCGGCCUGUUGCGUCCGCUGUGAAAUCCCGGGGCUUAACCCCGGGCGUGCAGUGGAUACGGGCAGGCUGGAGGCAGGCAGGGGAGAACGGAAUUCCCGGUGUAGCGGUGAAAUGCGCAGAUAUCGGGAGGUACACCGGUGGCGAAGGCGGUUCUCUGGGCCUGUACUGACGCUGAGGAGCGAAAGCGUGGGGAGCGAACAGG